rnacentral:rRNA from 1 species
UUUUUCGGAGAGUUUGAUCAUGGCUCAGGACGAACGCUGGCGGUGUGCCUAAAACAUGCAAGUCGAACGGACCUUCGGGUCAGUGGCGAACGGCGGAGUAAUACAUGAGUAACGUGCCCUUCAGACGGGGAUAUACAGUCGAAAGACUGGGCAAUACCGGAUGAGAUGGCGAGGAGGCAUCUCCUUGUCAUGAAAUGGUUUUUCGCUGAAGGAGCGGCUCAUGACACAUCAGAUAGUUGGUGGGGUAACGGCCUACCAAGUCUACGACGUGUAGGGGGUCUGAGAGGAUGAUCCCCCCGAGUGGGACUGAGACACGGCCCACACACCUACGGGUGGCAGCAGUUGGGAAUCUUGCGCAAUGGGGGAAACCCUGACGCAGCGACACCGCGUGGAGGAUGAAGGAUUUCGGUCUGUAAACUCCUUUUGCUAGGAAAGACUUAGGACGGUACCUAGCGAAUAAGCUCCGGCUAACUACGUGCCAGCAGCCGCGGUAAUACGUAGGGAGCAAGCGUUGUCCGGAUUUACUGGGCGUAAAGGGCGUGUAGGCGGUCUGUUAAGUGUGACGUGAAAUCUUCAGGGCUCAACCCGAAAAUUGCGUCGCAGACUGGCAGACUAGAGGGAAGCAGAGGUUGAUAGAAUUCCUGGUGUAGCGGUGACAUGCGUUGAUAUCAGGAGGAAUACCGAUGGCGAAGGCAGUCAACUGGGCUUUUCCUGACGCUGAGGCGCGAAAGCGUGGGUAGCAAACAGAAUUAGAUACUCUGGUAGUCCACGCCCUAAACGAUGGAUGCUAGGCGUAAGGGGUAUCGACCCCCUUUGUGCCGUAGCUAACGCAUUAAGCAUCCCGCCUGGGGAGUACGGCCGCAAGGUUGAAACUCAAAUGAAUUGACGGGACCCCGCACAAGCGGUGGAGCAUGUGGAUUAAUUCGAUACUAACCGAAGAACCUUACCUGGGUUUGACAUCGCGGGUAAUCCUAUGAAAGUAGGACCCUGACUCACAAGGUCGGCCCAAAGACACCUGUUGCAUGGCUGUCGUCAGCUCGUGCCGUGAGGUGUUUGGUUAAGUCCAGCAACGAGCGCAACCCUCGUCUUAUGUUGCCAGCGGGUAAUGCCGGGAACUCAUGAGAGACUGCCUGUGUAAGCAGGAGGAAGGUGAGGAUGACGUCAAGUCGGCAUGGCGGUUACACCCAGGGCUUCACACAUGCUACAAUGGGCGCAACAAAGGGCAGCAAUACCGCGAGGUGGAGCUAAUCCCAAAAAUACGUCCUCAGUUCAGAUUGUAGUCUGCAACUCGACUACAUGAAGGCGGAAUCGCUAGUAAACGCAGGUCAGCUAUACUGCGUUGAAUACGUUCCCGGGGUUUGUACACACUGCCCGUCAAGUGAUCCGAGUCGUUUCUACCCGAAGUCCGUGGCCCAACCGUAAGGAGGGAGCGGCCGAAGGUGGAGGGGGUAAGGAGCACUAAGUCGUAACAAGGUACCCGUACCGGAAGGUGUGGGUGGAUCACCUCCUAA